UACGUAGGGGGCAAGCGUUGUCCGGAAUCAUUGGGCGUAAAGCGCGUGUAGGCGGCUAGGUAAGUCUGCUCUGAAAGCCCGGGGCUCAACCCCGGGAGGCGGGUGGAUACUGUCUAGCUCGAGUCCGGAAGAGGAGUGUGGAAUUCCUGGUGUAGCGGUGAAAUGCGCAGAUAUCAGGAGGAACACCGGUGGCGAAGGCGGGUCUCUGGGCAACAACUGACGCUGAGGAGCGAAAGCGUGGGGAGCGAGCAGG
rnacentral:rRNA from 1 species